rnacentral:hammerhead_ribozyme from 1 species
AUCCAGUCGAAGAGUCCCAAAUAGGAUGAGACGCGCAUCAUGGAU